rnacentral:tRNA from 1 species
CCGGGGUGGGCCGGGUCACCGGCGUCGACGUCGCCUACGACGACGAGCGCGACCUCGUCGUCGCGGCGGCCGUCGUGCUGGACGCGGCGACCCUGGA